UUGUUUUGCUUUUAUCUAAGCCAAGGGGACUGAAAUUUCCAUUUUAGAAAAUGUCGAUCAGAGACACAGCUCUUUAAACGUGGUUUAUUUUCUAGUUUGUUCUUGAAUAACAUUUACUCUUCAUUUGAUUUGCAAUAUUUUAUAGAGAAAUUGCCAGUCCCAUUGAAUGUUAUACACAAUGUGCGUUUAAGAGUAGAAAGACUUUUUCAAAAUGAAUCCAAAAAAUACUUAGGUUCAACGAAUGGCUACGUGUUCGCUUACUAGGCGAACGAUUGUGGAUUCCUCAGGAACUCAAUUGAUUGAUUGGUCUUAUUCAAGGCUAGAGGCGAAUGAAUUUUGCAGUUCAAAGUCUCUAUAAUCGUACAAAUGAAUCAAUCAAAUAUUCAUCUUAAAGCCUACUUGAGUCUCUAACUGCUAUUUGCAUAAGCAAGCAAUUAUCAAACAGAUCUCCAGAUCUCCAGAGAAGUCCUUCAAUAAGCCUUAACAUGUGGCGUCAUUGAAAUGUAGUGUUUUGAAAAAGUCCUGUCCGCUUCAAAGAACGCGCUUUGUUAUUUUUUGUAUUUUAUUUCAUGUGAUGAUACUGAUGACGAGACUGAAACAUAAUCACGCGACAUCAAUGUAUUUUGUGUUUUACAGAAUCAUGACGUUACGAUUAUGUUUUUGAUGAUUUGGCGACUGAUCAGUUUGUUCAUUACAAUUUGUUCUCUCUGUUCGUCACAUAUAUCUCAACUAAAAUGAUGUUUUCGUUUGAUUAAACAGGCCAACUCCAUCGAUGGAAACAGUUGCGCUUCAAAUUUUGACUGUAGACAACGCAUGGAAACAUGUGAAACGCUCAUUGAAACAAGUCCUAAAUGUUCGAUGAUUUUGGAGUUUAAAUCUAUAAAGCCAAAUGAAAAAUGAUGAUGAUUUCCAGCACAUUUGCUCAUUUGAUAAAGCUGAGUUCAAGCUGAAACCAUGAUUGAUUGGGUUAGCAAUAUAAUAUUGUAAGCCGCAGUGGUGAUUCUGCCAUGAUCAUGUUCGAGCUUUGAGUAGAAUUGGAUUUUCUGCACGAACAGUUACCAAGUGUCGUUAUAAUUCAUGCGAUUUGACGUCCUUCUACUAUUUCUUGUGGAGCUACGCGUAAUACUAACCCUCAAAGUCUUGAGUAGCUAAACAGCUAUAUUUUAAUUAUUUUUCGAAUAUUGAAGAAGAAGAGUUGAGACGGUGGUAUGGUGAGUAGUUUGUAUAUUGUUGCAUUACAAAAAAUAAAAUGAAAAAUAAAUAAAAAAAUAA